rnacentral:rRNA from 1 species
AACGUACGCUGGCGGCACGCUUAACACAUGCAAGUCGAACGAAGUAGCAAUACUUAGUGGCAGACGGGUGAGUAACAUGUGGGUAUCUGCCCUUUGGCCUGGAAUAACACGAGGAAACUUGUGCUAAUACCGGAUAAGUCUUUACGGAGAAAGCUUUAUGCACCAUUGGAUGAGCCCGCACUUGAUUAGUUUGUUGGUGGGGUAAUGGCCUACCAAGACUGUGAUCAAUAGCUGAUUUGAGAGGAUGAUCAGCCACAUUGGGACUGAGACACGGCCCAAACUCCUACGGGAGGCAGCAGUGGGGAAUCUUGCACAAUGGAGGAAACUCUGAUGCAGCGAUGCCGCGUGAGUGAAGAAGGCCCUUGGGUUGUAAAGCUCUUUCGUCGGGGAAGAAAAUGACUGUACCCGAAUAAGAAGGUCCGGCUAACUUCGUGCCAGCAGCCGCGGUAAUACGAAGGGACCUAGCGUAGUUCGGAAUUACUGGGCUUAAAGAGUUCGUAGGUGGUUGAAAAAGUUAGUGGUGAAAUCCCAGAGCUUAACUCUGGAACUGCCAUUAAAACUUUUCAGCUAGAGUAUGAUAGAGGAAAGCAGAAUUUCUAGUGUAGAGGUGAAAUUCGUAGAUAUUAGAAAGAAUACCAAUUGCGAAGGCAGCUUUCUGGAUCAUUACUGACACUGAGGAACGAAAGCAUGGGUAGCGAAGAGGAUUAGAUACCCUCGUAGUCCAUGCCGUAAACGAUGUGUGUUAGACGUUGGAAAUUUAUUUUCAGUGUCGCAGCGAAAGCGAUAAACACACCGCCUGGGGAGUACGACCGCAAGGUUAAAACUCAAAUGAAUUGACGGGGACCCGCACAAGUAGUGGAGCAUGUGGUUUAAUUCGAAGAUACGCGCAGAACCUUACCAACACUUGACAUGUUCGUCGCGACUCUAAGAGAUUAGAGUUUUCGGUUCGGCCGGACGAAACACAGGUGCUGCAUGGCUGUCGUCAGCUCGUGUCGUGAGAUGUUGGGUUAAGUCCCGCAACGAGCGCAACCCUCACUUUUAGUUGCCAUCAUUUAGUUGGGCACUCUGAAAGAACUGCCAGUGAUAAGCUGGAGGAAGGUGGGGAUGACGUCAAGUCCUCAUGGCCCUUACGUGUUGGGCUACACACGUGCUACAAUGGUAUCUACAACAGGAAGCAAGACUGCGAGGUCAAGCAAAUCCUUAAAAGAUACCUCAGUUCGGAUUGCACUCUGCAACUCGAGUGCAUGAAGCUGGAAUUACUAGUAAUCGUGGAUCAGCGUGCCACGGUGAAUGCGUUCCCGGGUCU